rnacentral:rRNA from 1 species
UACGUAGGGUGCAAGCGUUGUCCGGAAUUAUUGGGCGUAAAGAGCUCGUAGGCGGUUUGUUGCGUCGGCUGUGAAAUCCCGAGGCUCAACCUCGGGUCUGCAGUCGAUACGGGCAGACUAGAGUGUGGUAGGGGAGACUGGAAUUCCUGGUGUAGCGGUGAAAUGCGCAGAUAUCAGGAGGAACACCGGUGGCGAAGGCGGCAUCCUGGACCGGUAUUGACGCUGAGGCGCGAAAGCUAGGGGAGCAAACGGG